CCUACGGGAGGCAGCAGUAGGGAAUCUUCCACAAUGGACGCAAGUCUGAUGGAGCAACGCCGCGUGAGUGAAGAAGGGUUUCGGCUCGUAAAGCUCUGUUGUUAAAGAAGAACGUGGGUAAGAGUAACUGUUUACCCAGUGACGGUAUUUAACCAGAAAGCCACGGCUCACUUCGUGCCAGCAGCCGCGGUAAU
rnacentral:rRNA from 1 species